GAGCAGAGGUGCUACCUCGACCCGAAUGUCUGGUCUUUGGACAAGGAAAAUUUGAAGUGGAUUGGACUUAAGCCUGAACCAUCACCUACCUGAUUCAGCUUGUGAGGUUUACUGCUGUGUAAAGGUGUUUUUGUCCAGAUAUGCAAAGAUACCUAGAAGGUUCACAGAUGGGCACCCUCUCCUUCUCGGGAAAAUGAACUAAUAUUGAGUACUUCUUGCCAUCCAGGGACUCCGCACCCAUAAUCUCAUCUCUACCUCAUCAGUCACAUCUAUCCCAAGCCUGCUGGCAUCCAACACAAGGUUAUGCUUCUGUUUUUAUUCUUUCAAAAUGAGAGAGAGAGACAGGGAGAGGGAGAGGGAGAGGGAGAAGGAGAGGGAGUCAAAAAUGGUGUCCUACCAUCUCCCCUUACUAAUCCUCUCCACUCCAGGCCUUUCCACAUCUGAACGAAAUAUCUGACCCUUCUCAGCCGGACCCACCCCUAACAUCUGUGGGGCCUGGGCAAGACUGCGACUCGAGAUCCAUGCACCGUAUGUCUAAAUAUUUAAAAGUUAGAACAUAUCUCUAAACACAGACACUUCAUGCCUGCAUCAGAUAUAUUCACCGAGACUUAUGUAUAAGAACCAAUUAAAGUAGCAUAAACUGGAAACAGUGUAAAUGUUCAACAAUGGGGCAUUUUGAUUAAUUAUAGUAUCCAUUCAUAUAAUAGAAUAACAAUGAGCUAUUAAAAAUUGUUAAUA